AGAGCCUAACUUGGCUGUUUUUUCGAGAGUAACAAAACCCUACCCUCGGUUUUCACCGAAAACGCCCAGAUUCACACAAAUUAGAUCGAGUUCGAAGAACCCUAAAAUUCAAAUUUGGGGUUUUUUGCUCAAACUUCAUAAGCAAGCUAUUUAAGUGUUCUCUAGCCCUUUUAAACUAAAAAGGCAUGAUUUUUCCUACAAUUUUCCUCUGAUUUGAUGAAGUCAAGAUGGUUAAAUCACGCAGGGGCAAAGAAAAAGAAACCGCACCACAGGAGGAUGUAGCGGUUGGGUCGAAAUGGGCGAGAAGAGGUACCGGAGUUGAGAUCCGGGAAAUCGCUAUGGAUGAUUUUGUUCAAGCUCCACGGGGGACACGAUGAUGUUCCCUACCGCCCUACGUGGAGAGAUGGUCCUCUUUAUAAACAAGAAGCCGCGUAUCAGGCUGAACUCUUCUAUGAAAAGAUGGGUGAUACACACUCUAUUAGAUCAAAUACUUGCUUUGAGAAGCGCAUCCAUAGACCCGAUCUUAGGGCGUUGGGAUUGUAUGAAAAAUUUACUGAACUUGGUUGAGAAGAGGUGUUGGAGUUUCGGGGUAAUGAGAGUGGAGAAGUUUAUCUUCGAAGUGUUACGGAAUGGUUGAGUACGCUGACGAAGAAUGACGGGAAUGAUCCGCCGAGAACCGUCACACUGACGGGAAAGGUUAACGGGAAGCCGACAACCAUGUCUUUGGCUUCAUUGAGUCAGAUUGCAAAAUUUGAUUCUAAGGCGGAUAGUUUCUACACUUAUAUCA
rnacentral:lncRNA from 1 species